GACCAAUCAGAAACAUGUAAUUGGACACGUUAGACAGACAUCACAGAUCACAAAAAAAAAAAAAACCGUCGAAAUCCUUCUCCUCACCUGUACCACUUCGUCUUCUCCGAUCGAAGACCAAAGAAGCCGAGAACCACUUCUACACAAUCAAUACUUUCGUUUCAAUCAAUCAAUACCUUAUUAAUGAUUUUGUUUCACCUCCCUCUUUUCCUCCUUCUUUAUAUACUGAUCUUCUUUCUUUCGUACAAACCAAAACCCUAGAACCACUCAAAGCUCAAUCCAUGGCGAUGAAACCACAAUUACGGACGCUUCUCUCUAAUUCUCACCUGCUCCGAACAGCAACAAGAUUCACAACGGUUAUACAAAUAGAGGAAAAAAUCCCGAUGAUGCCUCUUACCACAUUCCAUCCCCUCCGAUACAAACAGUUGAUCGACAUAGCCACUGGUACCAACAACUUACCAGGUAAACAACCACUUAUUUUGAUCAUUUCUUAAAAAGUAAAAUUUGACAUGAAAGACAAAUAUUAUCCCAAAUGUGGUUGGACAAAUAAGAAUGUUUCAAGGUAACGAUCUCAAAAAUCCGAGGGCAACAACGAAGGUCAGAAUUGGUCUACUACUAAACAGGUCAAAAAUGGUCCGCUUGACAAUAAUGGACAAUGUGUCUGCCCAGUUUAGAGACUUACAUAGCAUGACAGUCAUGAAAUACAAAGUUGUAAUCAUUACAAGCAUCAAUCCCAGAGUAUUUAAAGGAAAACUGAUACUCGCCACAACUCCUGCUACUCGAUUUUACUGUGACAGCACUAUUGAUCUCAUACAAAGCUUCGUCCGGAGAAACAAAGUUAGUAAUCACUCAUGAAGUGGUCAUCUAAACUUUGAGUUGAAGUCUACUACAAAAUUCUCUUUAUAUUCCUCAUCUCUUAAAAAAAUAUUUCAUUUUCUAACAAUCAAAUUUUUAUUAAACUUUCAUUUCCAUAAUUUUUUUCAUGUUCUGAAUUUUUUGGGUUAUUAGAUAUUAAAAACUACAACAUUAAACCAUUACUUGCAUUAACUUUUUUUUGUAUUGUUUGCAACA